UACGGGGGGGGUAAGCGUUGUUCGGAAUUACUGGGCGUAAAGGGCUCGUAGGCGGCCAACUAAGUCGGACGUGAAAUCCCUCAGCUUAACUGGGGAACUGCGUCCGAUACUGGAUGGCUUGGAUUUGGGAGAGGGAUGCGGAAUUCCAGGUGUAGCGGUGAAAUGCGUAGAUAUCAGGAGGAACACCGGUGGCGAAGGCGGGUCUCUGGGCCGGAACUGACGCUAAGGAGCGAAAGCGUGGGGAGCGAACAGG
rnacentral:rRNA from 1 species